UACGGAGGGAGCUAGCGUUGUUCGGAAUUACUGGGCGUAAAGCGCACGUAGGCGGCUUUGCAAGUCAGAGGUGAAAGCCUGGAGCUCAACUCCAGAAUUGCCUUUGAGACUGCAUCGCUUGAACACGGGAGAGGUGAGUGGAAUUCCGAGUGUAGAGGUGAAAUUCGUAGAUAUUCGGAAGAACACCAGUGGCGAAGGCGGCUCACUGGUCCGGUACUGACGCUGAGGUGCGAAAGCGUGGGGAGCAAACAGG
rnacentral:rRNA from 1 species